rnacentral:lncRNA from 1 species
CCACGCCCCCUUUCUCAGUUUAAAACUGCCCCCCACCAAUCUUAUCACUAUUCUCCUGUUUAUGUGCUCCCUUCGAGUCCUGGGGAGCCCUCAGCACUUUGAGGUCCUUCUGAUGCAUCAUUUUGCUCUCUCUGCUGCUGUUACCUCACUCCAGCCCUCAGCUAGAAGAAUUCCUGAGAGAAGCAGCUCAGCUCUCGAGCACCCCUGGAGUCAUCACCAGUGUUAAAACUGCAAAGUAACUGAAUGCAUCCCUGCCAUGUGAGUGCUGGUGCCUUAAGAAGAGUCGCCUGAUACACUGGGGAGAUCUGUUCAUCAAAGCAUGGCACGUGAUGAAAUAAUGUGAUUUCCUAAAACGUGGGAAUUAGCAAGUCAAGCCCAGAGAAUUAAAACUGCCCGGAGGCUCAGCUGCCCUGAAAGAAUCCAGUAAAACUCCAUCUCAAGCUAGCAAGAAGCGGAACACGGCAUCUAUUUUUGUUAUGACAUCCUUGAGGUCAGCCCAGCAACAGGGAGGGGAAGAAAUUAAAAGACCCAAACAUUUGCAAGACUGCUCGAUGUUUUAAGGACCUGUAAGGAGGCUGAGGAAUAAGACGUCUGACACAGAGAACUGUGGCUGAAACCUUCCUAAGACUGCUGCCAUUGUGCAAACCAAGUGCACACCAGUAGGAGAGCAGUGCCACAACCGAGCAAUGGCACAAAGCAUCACAGGAGGGGGAGAGAUGGAUGGAAAAAGUAGAGCGAGGUGCAAGUUUCUGCACAGCUGGAGCACAGCUACGGCGCUGGAGAAACAUCUGCAUAGAGCACAGAGCCCUUCAGAUGGCAGAUUGCUGUGAGAACAUCUUGCUGCUUCCUUCACUUCUGCUGCACCAAAAAGCCAUCAGUGCAAUGCUGAAAGGGAACAGAGAAAGGGGCUGGAAGCACUUUAAUUACUGUGAGUGCUUGUUUUGUGUACGUGUGAUUGCUUCCUAUGAUACAGUAACUUCUUCUCUUUCCCCAUGCAAGGAUGGUGUUUCUAUUUAUCACGAUGAAUCCAGAGCAGCAAAUUAGAGAGGGAAAGGGAGCAACUGCAUUGCUCUAUUUGUAAGCAAAACUGGCACUGUGUGCGGAGGAGCAACAGUUUCUGUUGAAAGCAAGUAAUGGAUUUUCUCCCUGCAGAACUCCUUUGGCCCUUUGCUUUCACUUCCUGUUCUUCACUGGCUUUUAAAAGACUGCCCAAGUUCCUGCCAUGCUUAGAAGAGUUGAGUGCUAUUAUUCCCAUUUACAGAGAAAAAAAAGAAAAAAGUAGAUGGCGAGAAGCUUCUAUCUGUGAACAUUGGUUAAUCCCAUUCUUUUUAAUGCUGAAAAUGUGUUAAGGACAACGAGGUGCAGAGCCAGACCUCGCUUGGGCUCCAGGGGCCACUGAGCAGCAGUGGGCAGCACUGCACACCAUGAGUGGGGGCAUCUUCCAGAACUGGGGCUCCUGGUGGUGGGAAGGGUUCUGUUUACACGAGGUAACAUUCCCUCAAUCACCUUUUCCAUUUAAUUUUCUGUGCUUUGUGCUGCCUGCUAGGGAUCGUUAAGCAAUACUCCAGUUAUCACUGCAUAUCACUUAGUGUGCUUUGCUCUAAUAAGCUUUUGUAAAUAAAACCCAGAGAGAUGAAAAGGCCAACGCCUGAUUACGAGCUACC